rnacentral:rRNA from 1 species
GAUGAACGCUGGCGGCGUGCCUAAUACAUGCAAGUCGAGCGAACGGACGAGAAGCUUGCUUCUCUGAUGUUAGCGGCGGACGGGUGAGUAACACGUGGAUAACCUACCUAUGAGACUGGGAUAACUUCGGGAAACCGGAGCUAAUACCGGAUAAUAUUUUGAACCGCAUGGUUCAAAAGUGAAAGACGGUCUUGCUGUCACUUAUAGAUGGAUCCGCGCUGCAUUAGCUAGUUGGUAAGGUAACGGCUUACCAAGGCAACGAUGCAUAGCCGACCUGAGAGGGUGAUCGGCCACACUGGAACUGAGACACGGUCCAGACUCCUACGGGAGGCAGCAGUAGGGAAUCUUCCGCAAUGGGCGAAAGCCUGACGGAGCAACGCCGCGUGAGUGAUGAAGGUCUUCGGAUCGUAAAACUCUGUUAUUAGGGAAGAACAUAUGUGUAAGUAACUGUGCACAUCUUGACGGUACCUAAUCAGAAAGCCACGGCUAACUACGUGCCAGCAGCCGCGGUAAUACGUAGGUGGCAAGCGUUAUCCGGAAUUAUUGGGCGUAAAGCGCGCGUAGGCGGUUUUUUAAGUCUGAUGUGAAAGCCCACGGCUCAACCGUGGAGGGUCAUUGGAAACUGGAAAACUUGAGUGCAGAAGAGGAAAGUGGAAUUCCAUGUGUAGCGGUGAAAUGCGCAGAGAUAUGGAGGAACACCAGUGGCGAAGGCGACUUUCUGGUCUGUAACUGACGCUGAUGUGCGAAAGCGUGGGGAUCAAACAGGUUUAGAUACCCUGGUAGUCCACGCCGUAAACGAUGAGUGCUAAGUGUUAGGGGGUUUCCGCCCCUUAGUGCUGCAGCUAACGCAUUAAGCACUCCGCCUGGGGAGUACGACCGCAAGGUUGAAACUCAAAGGAAUUGACGGGGACCCGCACAAGCGGUGGAGCAUGUGGUUUAAUUCGAAGCAACGCGAAGAACCUUACCAAAUCUUGACAUCCUUUGACAACUCUAGAGAUAGAGCCUUCCCCUUCGGGGGACAAAGUGACAGGUGGUGCAUGGUUGUCGUCAGCUCGUGUCGUGAGAUGUUGGGUUAAGUCCCGCAACGAGCGCAACCCUUAAGCUUAGUUGCCAUCAUUAAGUUGGGCACUCUAAGUUGACUGCCGGUGACAAACCGGAGGAAGGUGGGGAUGACGUCAAAUCAUCAUGCCCCUUAUGAUUUGGGCUACACACGUGCUACAAUGGACAAUACAAAGGGCAGCGAAACCGCGAGGUCAAGCAAAUCCCAUAAAGUUGUUCUCAGUUCGGAUUGUAGUCUGCAACUCGACUACAUGAAGCUGGAAUCGCUAGUAAUCGUAGAUCAGCAUGCUACGGUGAAUACGUUCCCGGGUCU